GCGGGUUUGGGCGAUUCUCUUCCGCGCAGGAGCGCGCGGGCUGCACCCCCGCACGCGAGCGCAGCCGGGGGAAGUGGCUGGAGGGGACCGUCGCGGCUGCGGUGUCGGUCCCUCCCGGAGAGUGGCUGUGACAACAGCGAGGGCAACAGUUCCUGCUCACUGGGUGAUGUCUCAUUUCGCCCCAAUAGCCUCCAGUCUUUGGAUGCCCUACCACCUGUUUGUUGGCUUAGAGUUCUGUGAAAUAAUAUCUCCAAAUUGCAUGAAUGGAGCACAGGAUCAUUCCCACAGAAGGGGGCGCAAAUUGGAAAAGGCUGCAGUGAGUGGAUGGAUCUCCGCUGAGACUGCCCGUUGUAGAUGAGAUCUUUCUUUCAUCACUGCAUGGGGAUUGACCACAAGAGGACACAAUUUCCCAGAGAACUUGGUUUAAAGAGAAGCUCUUGGAAGAGGAAAGCUAACGAACGACAUGAUAUGUCCAUAAUCACAUCCUCCGAAAGCCUGCUGGAAGGACUAAGCACUGGACUGAAAGACUUGGAAAAAGAUGAGGAAAAGACAUGAGAGAAAACAAAGUGAAAAUAAGGAAGAAAUGAAGAGAGAGCAGAAUGUGGAGAGAGGAUAAAAGAUGGAGCUGGAGCAAGUGAGAAAAAGGGAAUUUCUAGAGAAGGAGAGAUUGAAGCUUCGUGUGCAAGGGGAAUAAAAGGCUUAAAUGACAAGAGUGAGAAGGAAAUAAUUGCACUUAGUCGGAAAUAGGAAAGCACCAGGAUUAUUUGCCUCAGUUUCUGCC